CGGAGGGUCACCCCCGGUCCCCGGUGCAGAGGGGGCCAGGAGAAGGCGCCAGGUCCGCGGGUUCCCGGUGCGGAGGGUCCCGGGAGAAGCGGCGGUGGAGAGCGGGGACGGCCGCGCUCUCUCGGCUCGGCGGGGAGGCAGCGGCGGUGCGGAGAAGGGAAAUGCUAAGGUGCCAUCCCAGACUCCCGACCCUUGCAGGCACGAGAAGCCAGCCAACCAUAACACCGCCCCUAAACCGAAAAUCCUUCUCCUUAACGAAAUGAAACAUCCCUUCCAAAACAAAGCUUUGAUCCCCGGGCUAAGAUCUUUUGGAGCAAGGCAAGGACGAGCCUGGCUGCAGAGCGUGGGAUCCACGGCUUUGUUCCCUGAGUCACCUGUGGCAGCUCGUCCAGGCUGGCCAGGCUUGAAAUAUGCAGAAAUCCAAAUGAUUUUUAACAGCUUGUCCUCCCUACGGUGGACGUGGCCUAAGACAAAGAAAACAGGGAUGAAAUGCCUGGCCGGGAGCCUUGCAGGAACAAAAACAGCCUUGUAAGCACAGCCUGAAGUUUGGCAAGCUCCAGCUCUGAUGGACAGUGCAGGGGUGUUGGGUUCCAGGGCAGGUGUCGGCAGCAGGACACUGUCCCUGCCCUCGGGAAGCGACAACAGCUGAAAUCCAGCCCGUGGUGCGCUGGAAAAAUAAAGUGGCUGCUGAAUACAAGGGGGCAGAGCACCCCAGGCUUUAGGAAUUGCCACAAACACCUUGAAUUGCACCAGCACUGCGACAGCAGCCCCGGAAACACCCAAAAAUGAGUGCUGGGGAUGCUCCCGGGAAAGGCAGCGGGAAUCAGCAGCAGGUCAGCUGAAGCUGCUGAGGGUUCAGCCUCCAGAGAGCUUCUUACAAUGUCCAGAGCAGGCUGUAAAUAAGAUUUCUUACUUUCCACAGCAAUGCCAGUGUCUGCAGUCUCUCCUCUUUGCUUAAACUCUCCUCCUCCUCCUCCUCCUUCUCAUUAGUUUGCUAAGUUUCCGAGUGUGCCACGAGCUGCCUUUAAACACUCUGUGGAAGAUCUUUGCCCAAAUGCUCUCUGCUGGCGCAGAGGCUCCAGGAACAGCCUCCCCACGCUGCUGCUGCUCCAUCCCCACCGACUGCCGUGCCUGGCACCGGCCCUGUUUGCCGAGCUCCCCGCAUCCCCAGCGAGGAAGUGCCGCUGUUAUUGUUGCAGCAAUAAACACAACGGCCGAGGGCAGCUGGUUCACAAGCGCCACAUUUGCGAGUGCAGGAGGAGCAGAACUGACGUGCUGGGGAGGGGGAAGCAGAGACAAGUGCUUCUGUGAGUUGGGCAAUCUGGCGAGUUGGGCAAUCAACGCUGUUUGUGAGUUGUUCUUUCGUUUGCAAGGGGAAGAGAAGUCCAAAACUUGCAAGUGACGGAUCUGGAAAGCAAAAUCUAUAAAAGAGGAUGGCAGCAAUUCGUUUAUCAAUUUAGUGAGAGGAAGAUAAUGAAAUCCACAGGAUCUGAAAGAUACGAGCACAGCUCAUGUACCCGCAGCUGAGAAAAAACAUCCCUCGUGUUUCUCAGUUUGUGUACAUCCCAUGAACUGCUAAAACAGCAACAGUUCGAGGCACCUUGUAGUAUUUGCCCACCUAUGUGUCAGUGAAAUAAAGAGCUGUGAUCCACUCCUGC